rnacentral:tRNA from 1 species
GCACAAGUAGCUCAGUACCAGAGCAUCGGUCUUGUAAACCGAAUGUCGGAGGUUAAAUUCCCCCCUUUUGCU